AUUAAAAUAUGGUUUUCAAAAGCACGCAUAGGCAAAUUUCUAUGUUCUAUUCACCAUUCAUUCAACAAGUAUUGAGUAACUACUGCAUAACUGGCAUUGUCCUAGGCACAGAGGCUAACAGCAGUGAACAAAAUGGCAAUGUUCCAUCUUGCAUGGUCCUUGUUUAGUGGGGAAGCACAAAGAAUGUGUGUUUAAUAUGAUAUGAUGUAAUAUAGUGCCAGAUGGUAGGAAGAGCUAUCAAGAAAAAAUAAUCCAGGGUAAGAGGAUAAAGAGUGAUGGCAAGUAGUAUAGGGUUAGGGUUAGGGUUAGGGAAGGUCUCUCUAAGGAGCCUCUAUUUCAGCAGAGACAUGAAGUCUGGGAGCAAGCUAUGAGAAUAUUUGGGUGAACAGUAUUCUAAACAAAGGAAACAAGUAUAAGGACUUGACGCUUAAACGAGUUUGGAUUGUUUAAAGUACUGAAAGAAGGUUACUGUGGUUAAAACAUUGUGAAUGAAAUGAAGGGAAAAGUAGUAGAAGAUGAGAUUGGGAAGAAAACUGGGUGCCAGACCUCAUAUGUUGUUUUGGGAUAUGAAAAGAACUUUUAAGUUUUAUUUUAGGGUGAUGGAGAACCACUGGAAGAUUCUGAGGAUAGGACUUUGUGCUUUGUGAUGUGCUUUAUGUUUUAAAAGGGUUACCUGGCAACUGUGUGGAGACAGCCCAGAAAUAGAAAUAGGGUGAAAUAAUCCAAGAGUGGAAGCUGAGAUACCAGCUUGGAAAUUAUUGCAGUUAUUCAGGGAACCUAAAUUUGAGGUCAAGGAUCAAAACGAGCCUUCUCUCUGUCAAGAGAUUUCUACUUAGACUUAUGUCUUCUGCAAUGUCUUCUGCAAAUGAUUUACUGAAGGCUUAUGGUAUGCUCAGUGACCUGUAUCGUUCUCAGACGAAAAACACGUAUAUGAUCUAAAAUGCAAAGUCAUCUUCAAUUAUGGUUAAAUAUCAUCAUCACCUCUACUAACCAUUUAUAAACCUUAUAAACUCUUUUUGCACUAACAAUUUCUUUUGUAGCCCCAAAGAGCCCUCUUAGAAAGAACUUGAGCCCACAGAAAGGAUAUAAUUUACUUAAGAUCAUAGUAAGAAUUAGGGUCUUUCAAAACCAGGGAAGCCACCUGGUCCUUUGAGGAAAUCUAGGCAAGGUGGGCUUUUAAAAAAUAAUAUCCAACAUAAAGCAGAGUCUGGCAAUAGGAGGUACUAAGUAAAUAUCUGUUGAAUAAAUAGAUUUCAGAGUAACUCAAAAUUCAUUCUGAGUCCACAUGUGAUUAUAGAAGAAAACAAAGGAACGACCAAGAAAUCAACUGACAGGACUGCUGGCUCAGAGCCACUGCUAGGGUCCAAUAAGACAGUAGAAGAGACCCCUUCUCCCACUCCAUAUCAUCACAUUUGUUAUUUGUUCUCACCUUGACACUGGCUUUCUGACAGAAUAAUUUUUCCCAGUGUGUAGAUGGGAAAAGUGAGAGCUAGAGUGGAGAAGUGUGGAUUCUGGGUACUCUAGGUUUAGUAUUAGGACAGGAACCAAGGCCUCCUCCAGGACUUCAUGUCCAUCUGGGCUGUCCUUUAAUAUGCCUGCUUAAUCUUUCUCCUUAGACUUGGUUGACAGAGGCAAGUACAGUGCAGCAGGCCCUCUGUGGGACUUGCUGUAGCCUCACGGUACUAAGACUCCCAUCCUAGUUGUAGUGAUCACUAUCUUGCCUCCCAUCAAGACCAUUCCAAAUAGCAGACAUGGAAGAUGAAAACCUCAAAGACAUCAAAGGGGACAUUGGAGGUGCAUGGACAUAAGGAACUGUAUGAGAAUGUUGAGAUAAAGAUGAGUAUGCCUUUUGAAAUGGGGGCGGCAGAUGUGCUAGAUGGUAAAGGAUACCACUUCAUACAGGAUGGCUUUAAUGGGAAAAGACACAGGCAGGAUCCCACUGGUCAAUGACUUCCAGACUCCUUGAAGCAGCUGCUUAAAAUUGGAAAUGAGAAUGACACAAAGAGCCUUUUACCUACUCAUCACAGUCAUGAUGAACCACACAUGAUGAUAGUGGCAACAGACUGAAUGUUUACUCAUAAACUACCACUACCUCUUUCAUAGCCACAAAAAUUAGUUUCACAGGUUGGAAUCCCAUGUGUUCGGGGUGGGAGAAAAUCAAGUACCAGAAAGCAGAAGCUAGUAAAACAUCAAAGCUGGUGCUGAAUUCAUCUCUUGGGGCUAUCUGAAGAGAAAGUUGCCCAGGAUAUAACUCUAAAAGCAUUGCAGCACAGCCUAGAUCCAGUAUGCCACACAUUGUGACAAGACAGCUCAAUUAUUCCUGGCUCAUACUUGAGGAAGCAAAUUAUACAAUCAAGAAGCUGAAGCUGCAGUUGGAGAAAAAUAGCACCCAGGAGAAGCUGAGCAGCCUCAGCCCAGGCUCAUAGCUGAUGACAGCUUCAUGACGCACACACAGCUCCAACUCCUUCGCCCAGCCCCAGCUCUACACUGUUCCAUGCCCUGCCACCCAAACAAGGUUAAACAAGUUAAACAUUUCAAGGAAGAAAAAGUCUCCAACAAUACUACAACAGAAAAAAAGUAUUAUGUUAAAACAACAACCAAACAAACUGUUCAUCAGGAAGAAACCAGGUUAUCCAGAAUAGUGUUGUCUUUUAAAACAAUGCCAAAAUUUGAAAUGAUUAAACUUUGUACAAGUUUAAAA